UACGGAGGGUGCGAGCGUUGUUCGGAUUUACUGGGCGUAAAGGGCGCGUAGGCGGCCACCGCAAGUCGACUGUGAAAUCUCCGGGCUUAACUCGGAAAGGUCAGCCGAUACUGCGGGGCUAGAGUGCAGAAGGGGCAACUGGAAUUCUCGGUGUAGCGGUGAAAUGCGUAGAUAUCGAGAGGAACACCUGCGGCGAAGGCGGGUACCUGGACAAUUGCUGACGCUCAGGCACGAAAGCGUGGGGAGCAAAAGGG
rnacentral:rRNA from 1 species